GUCUUAAUCACUGCACGUUUUCUCGUGAUUCGUGUAAAAAACUUAAAACCCUCAUUAAACCCAAAGAUCAACCACAGCUACAGGAGAUCAUGGAGCCAUAUACAACAAAAAGCAGACAAAGACACUCACAAGAAUACAUAGUUGUGCCAGUCUCUCUCUCUUCCCCCCCUCCCCCUCUGUCUCUCUCUUCAUUUCUUUUCUAUCUGUAUGUACAUAUACAGAUACAGAGUGUGUGUGUGUGUGUGUUUUAGAGAGAGUGAGUGAAGAGGGUUCCUGUCCAUUGUGAGAAUAUUCAAAGCUAAGCUAGGGCUACUGAGAUGGCAUUUGCAACUGAGCUUCAAUCUGGUUUCCAUGGCGCUUCGUAUUCUUUUUUCUUCUCAAAGCAACUUUUCUUGGAUUAUGGUUUCUUCUCCACCAGGUUAAGAGAGAGCAGUGAUCCCUAUGUAACAGCACCAUUGGAAUAUGUAAACCGAUAGGUGCAUAUGCAGAGCAGGGAAUGAAGCCGUUGGUCCGUCAAGCAUGUCAAUAGGAGGGGUUGAAUUGACAUAUAUUAGUUAUGUUACAAAACGCAGUUUUACAUAUUUUUGGAUUUGUGCUUGUUAGCUCAUUGUUAUAGUCAUUCUACUGGCUGAUUUCUGACUGUAUUUAGUACUCUUGGUACCUACCAAUUCAUGUCAAAGAAAUCACAAUUGUGGUUUUGCCA